rnacentral:rRNA from 1 species
UACGUAGGGGGCAAGCGUUGUCCGGAUUUAUUGGGCGUAAAGAGCGUGUAGGCGGCCAUGUAGGUCCGUUGUGAAAACUCGAGGCUCAACCGUCGAGAUGUCGGCAGAAACCCUCUGGCUAGAGUCCGGAAGAGGAGAGUGGAAUUCCCGGGUGUAGCGGUGAAAUGCGCAGAGUAUCGGGAAGAACACCCGUGGCGAAGG